AGUGAACGCUGGCGGUAGGCCUAACACAUGCAAGUCGAACGGCAGCACAGUAAGAGCUUGCUCUUACGGGUGGCGAGUGGCGGACGGGUGAGGAAUACAUCGGAAUCUACUUUUUCGUGGGGGAUAACGUAGGGAAACUUACGCUAAUACCGCAUACGACCUACGGGUGAAAGCAGGGGAGCUUCGGACCUUUCGCGAUUGAAUGAGCCGAUGUCGGAUUAGCUAGUUGGCGGGGUAAAGGCCCACCAAGGCGACGAUCCGUAGCUGGUCUGAGAGGAUGAUCAGCCACACUGGAACUGAGACACGGUCCAGACUCCUACGGGAGGCAGCAGUGGGGAAUAUUGGACAAUGGGCGAAAGCCUGAUCCAGCCAUACCGCGUGGGUGAAGAAGGCCUUCGGGUUGUAAAGCCCUUUUGUUGGGAAAGAAAGGCAGCAGGUUAAUACCCCGCUGUUCUGACGGUACCCAAAGAAUAAGCACCGGCUAACUUCGUG
rnacentral:rRNA from 1 species